rnacentral:lncRNA from 1 species
AACGCUGAAUUGUUCACAAUCGCCAAAAAAGCAACAGGUAUAAAGUCAUUUAUAUAUAAGAUAUGAUUAUGUUUAAGAAUUAAAGACAAUAAAGGUUUGGAGCUCAAAAUCAAAUGUUAAGGUGCAAAGGACAAAGUAAUUAAUAACCAUCAUAAGGAAACAGCUUGAUUCUAAGCAAGAAGUAGAAGAAUCCAUGAUAAGUUAAUGGAGAAGAUUAAGAUAAUAAGGGAAGGAAUGACAUUUUACUUCAAAGAAGACAUUGACAUUUAUAGACCAUCCCGCCAAGAACAAAGUGGCAUAAUGGCCAUUAUCAGCACUUCACCUAUCUGAGUCUCGUGUUUAGGGGGCUGUGGACUGGGCAACGAUCCAAGGAGUAUUUUUAUCAAGCCAAAUAGCAGGUGAUCCAUUAAAUACAAGCCCAAAGGAUUCGAAAAAGGAAUAGGCAGGAAAAAGGCAGUCAUGAACUCCAUGUUCACAACAUGGCCAACAAAGCUUAACUCCACCAUCUCCAUGAUCACAUGCUCAGCCAAGAAUAACCGCCCUUCUCUCCAUUAUCCCAUGACUGGUAGUGUGAUGUGAAAAAUAUCUUGGAAGGGAAGUAUAUUUUUUCUGGUCAAGCUUGUAUACAAUAUCAUUCCAAGAGAAUAUAACCCCAUGAAUGUUCACCAUAAUAAAACACCAACGUAAGAAUGUGAAUUCUUCGGUACACAUCUAAUUUAAUGUGUACCGGUACACUUGCGUUGAUAAUUGUGAUAAGUUUACAAAUCGUGUUUAUUAAUUUUUCUAUAUUAAAUACUUACUGUGAACCUAUUAGAAUUGUACACCUCAGCAGUGUACCGAUAUAUGUCCAAAUAAGACGUGUACCGGAGUAUUGAUCAGGGGAGAUGGAUUGUCUCCGGUGAGAAAAAAACUGGAGGGUGUCCAGUGGAUACAUCCACCUUUCAUUUUUCUUAUUUAAAUUAAAAUUAAAAUUAUUAAAAUAAAGCAAUGGUCAAGAUUUCACUGUAAGAAAAUGCGACAUGAGACAACCUUCUCCUCCCAUUGAUCAGGUAAGAAUUGACAAAGGUUAGAAUGUAGGUCCAUUUACAUACAAUUUAGAUUCAUAAAAAAAAACGUAAAAAAAUAAUAUUUUUUUAAAGAAUAGUACAAAAAAUUGGCGAACAUAAAAAUCUGACCCAACAACCUCAUUUCUAAAGCAGUCUUUCAAGGAUUUUUCCUCCACUCUCAUUCCCUCAAUUUUAUGGUGUACUAUAAGUGGUUAAAAAUAUAACAAAAUUAUAAUGCUUGGUUUGGAAAAACAAAUAUAAACAUUCUAUACAAAAAAAAUAAAAAAUAAAAAAUAAAAAACAUAAACAAAUAACUUAAAUAAGAACAACAACCCUCUAAAUUCAUCUUUAUGUUUCAAAAAUUUUUACAAUGCAAAUUUUUUUUACAAAUAUGUACCUCUUUCGGGAUCAUUUGUUGAAUUUUUGGAUUAGCUUUGUAUUUUUCUUUGAAUUCUCGUACAAUUUUCUGUGUCAUGUAAUAAGAACUUAGAUUUAUAGAAUUAUCAUUGUACAAUUCUAUAAAUCUAUGUUCUUAUUACAUGACACAGAAAAUUGUACGAUAAUAAUUCAAAGAAAAAUAUAAAACUAAUCCAAAAAUUCAACAACCGAUCCCAAAAAAGGUACAUAUUUGUAAGAAAAUUUUGCACUGUAAAAAAAAAAAAGUUGAAGCAUAAAGAUGAAUUUAGAGGGCUAUUGUUUUUUAUUUAAGUCUCUUUGUUUAUGUUUUUUUUUUAAAAAAAAAAAUUAUAGAAUGUUCAUAUUGGUUUUUCCAAACCGCAUUAUAAUUUUGUUAUAUUUUUAACCACUUAGUACACCAUAAAACCAAUCAAUUUAAACAAAAAAUUAGAUUGAAUUAACUCAUCAAAUUCAAAACAUUAAAAAAAAAAAUAAUAAUAAUAAUAAUAUUAACUCAACAAAAUGAAAUCAAAAAAUUCAAAAUAAAAUAUAAUAAAAUUGGAGGAGGUGUAUGUUGAUCGUCUUACCGGUAUCUAAUCAAAGAAAUCACCGUUGAAUAUUUAAGUUGAACAUUUCCAAAACAAAUGAUACAUUAAAGCACAAUAGAUAAGACGAUCAAAUAUGAGACAACAUUAAUAUUUGUCAUUUGAUCAUUAUGUAUGGAAUGACGACCCAUGAACUCUAUUUUCAUAGCUUGUCUCGUGGAUCUGGUGGAUACAAAACAACACAAGAUUAAAUAGGAGAAAAUAUGUCAGUNNNNNNNNNNNNNNNNNNNNNNNNNNNNNNNNNNNAUAUAAAUAAUAGUUACUUGAGUAGAAUGAAAUUUCAAUAGAUGUUAGAAAUUUAAUAGUUUAUAUAUGAAUCAUUGAUAAAGAGAUAGAUAAUAGUGAAAGAUCUAUUUACUGCUAUAGGCGAUUGCAAGAUAUAUAACAUCAAAAGAGAAGGAAAAAUGAAGAUUGCAAAUUUGGUGAAGCGCCGUCGGUAUGUUUUCCA